rnacentral:rRNA from 1 species
UACGUAGGGCGCAAGCGUUGUCCGGAAUUAUUGGGCGUAAAGAGCUCGUAGGCGGCUUGUCACGUCGAUUGUGAAAGCCCGAGGCUUAACCUCGGGUCUGCAGUCGAUACGGGCUAGCUAGAGUGUGGUAGGGGAGAUCGGAAUUCCUGGUGUAGCGGUGAAAUGCGCAGAUAUCAGGAGGAACACCGGUGGCGAAGGCGGCGAUCUGGGAAGAUACUGACGCUGAGGUGCGAAAGCGUGGGGAGCAAACAGG